rnacentral:rRNA from 1 species
UACGAAGGGGGGCUAGCGUUGCUCGGAAUGACUGGGCGUAAAGGGCGCGUAGGCGGCUCAUACAGUCAGGCGUGAAAUUCCUGGGCUCAACCUGGGGGACUGCGCUUGAGACGUGUGGGCUUGAGUGGGGAAGAGGGUCGUGGAAUUCCCAGUGUAGAGGUGAAAUUCGUAGAUAUUGGGAAGAACACCGGUGGCGAAGGCGGCGACCUGGUCCUUGACUGACGCUGAGGCGCGAAAGCGUGGGGAGCAAACAGG